AUUACAAUUCCAAUGUGCAUUCACCUUGGAAGUUCCAACAAGUUUAUAUAUGUUUCAAGGCAAUGAAUGAAGGAUUAGUUAAUGGAUGUAAGUCAUUCAUUAAGAUUGAUGGAUGCCAUCUCAAGUCCAUAUACAAGCCUAUACAAGCUUCAAAAGGCUUGGGAGUGAAAAUAGGGUUUGGGGGUGCUUCAAAGCCUAUACAAGCUUCAAUUUCAAAAGCUACAUAAAGGACAUUUAAGGAUGUGUAGUUGAAUGACAUCCCUCAUGAGACAUGGGCUCAGCAUUUAUAUGACCAUGAAAUAAAGGUGAAAAAUGUAAUAAACAAUUUGGCAGUCUUUCAAUAGUUAGAUUAAGGAGUGCAGUAGCAUGUCAAUUGUUUUGUUACUUGGGAAAAUUAGGUCGAAACUAAUGGCAAGAUUUCAUGAUAGAUAUGCACAAGCUAUAUCUUGGGAAACGAAGACUAUUCCCUGUGUUAGAAACUUGGUUGAUAGAUCUAUUGAGAAAGCUAGAAACAUGGGAAUUAUUCCAGCCUCUUCUCAUGAAUACGACCAAACUAGAGUUUGUGUUGAAUUGGAUAAACAACAUUGCUCUUAUGGUGAAUGGCAAUUCUUGUAGACAUAUGGUGCCUUAUGCGCAUCACAAGAUAUGUGACAGAAGAUUUAUGUCAUUUGUGCUAAACAAAGAUGAUUUAUGUCAUUUGUGCUAAACAAUUAAAAAAUUAAGGAAAACAUACUCUGAGAUUGGAGACCCUUUACCAGAAGCAAACAUAGUUCCUACCUAAGGAGAUGUCACUGUUCUACCACUAGACCUCAAAAGGAGUGUGGAUAGACAAAGGAAAAAGAGACGCGAGGAAGAAGGAGAAGAUCAAUAUGAUACUAUGAGGAAAAAAGGCUUCUACACUUUGGCACACCAUUUUUAACCAACAUAGCCAAAAUUCAAGGACAUGUCUAAGAGAUAUUGCUGAACAAAUUACUAGUUUUAGAGUAUCUAGAGGUGGGAGAGGAUCCGAUAGUGGUGGUGAAGAGGGUCCACCAGUUCUUAGAGGGGAUCUAGGGGAUCCAAUGCUAGUAGAAGAGGAUCAAAAGCUAUUGACAUAGUACACAAAUGUUGUUACAUGAACUGGUGGUUAUAGAAGAGGAAACAAUAAUGCUACAAGAUGGACAGGAGAUUCAAGAGGUGGUGGUUCUAGAAGAGGAAACAAUAAUGCUACAAGAUGGACAGGAGAUUCAAGAGGUGGAAGAGCUGGAAUGGGUGAAAGUAAUGGUGCCGAAACAUCUUCCUCUCAACCCACAAUACAAACAUAGGAGAUUCAUCUAAAUAUGCAUUGUGAAUUAUCAUUAUUAUUCAAAACUUUACAUUAACUUAUCAAUGUCUUUUUUAAACUAUAAACCAAUGUAUACUCUCAACACUCAACCCAAACUAGCUGCAUCUCUUGAGGACUAUAGACGAAGAUUGUUGCCUUUCAAAAUUUAAGAUUUGUUGAUAGUUUAUAUUGUUAAGUGUUUUAUGAUGGAUGGAAUAUUUGUGGAUCAUUUUAGGUACCAUGUCAAUUUUAAUUGUUUGUGGAUGUUUAUUAUGUGCAUGCUUGUUAUUUGCAUGCUUUGGAUAUUUAUAUGUCAAUUAUAAAGGUUUUUACAUGCUUUUGUAGCGUUUCAUAUGGCAUAUAAGCUAUACAUUGACUAUAUUUCAAUUCUUCAACAUUAAUAAUAUAGUUUGGCUUGCUUGAUUGUUACAUAGUUUCGCUUGUUUUAUUGUAGGACAAUUUAGAUGUUGAUGAGUUGUUUGUUGGCUCUAAAUGAUGUAAAUGGUGGUGGAAAGUAUGGAUUUUGAUGUUGUUGUGGUUGGAAAUGCCAAGAGAAAUGGCAAGAAUGAAAUGUAAGAUUUUGGCUGGUCAACAACUUGAUAUUUCUAGUAGUUGAAAAUGGUGAGGGAAAUGUGAGGUUUGUUGUUGCUAGAAAAGGUGUAGGCAAUUGCUAAAAAUUGUCAACAACUGAAAUUGAUGAGAGUGUGAUGUUUUUUCAUGUUGUAAAAGGUGUGGGAAGGGGCUAAUUUGUUGGUAAAAUUGGCUAGUGCUAACAUGAGAAAAGGGGAGAUAUGUUGUUAUAUAUGUAAAUUAUGGCAUUGUUGUAAUUAUUGUUAAAUAAGUCAUGGCUAGUUUUUAAAAAAAAUUAAGCAACAACCAAUUUGAGUUUGAGAGGCAUUUUCGUUCGCUCCAGGUAUCUUUAGUCAUUUUAAAAAAACAUAAUAGCAAUCCUAUAAAUAAUCUAGCAAUUUUUUUUUUACUAUUUUUGACAUGCUUGUGAGAGGAUGUAAGUUAUGUAGUGUUUAAAACUAUAGGAUGUAAGUCGUAAGUUUUCAAACUAAAAAAGCAAAGUGUAAUUCACAUUAAACUAUAGAAUAUUAAAGGUAAUUUUCCUUUAAUAAAAACUAAAAGCUAUUGAAAAAGCUAGCUCUCUAACUAAAACUCAUUUAUCUCAUCAACAUGCUCGUUUU